AUUGAACGCUGGCGGCAGGCCUAACACAUGCAAGUCGAGCGGAUGAAGGGAGCUUGCUCCUGGAUUCAGCGGCGGACGGGUGAGUAAUGCCUAGGAAUCUGCCUGGUAGUGGGGGAUAACGUCCGGAAACGGGCGCUAAUACCGCAUACGUCCUGAGGGAGAAAGUGGGGGAUCUUCGGACCUCACGCUAUCAGAUGAGCCUAGGUCGGAUUAGCUAGUUGGUGGGGUAAAGGCCUACCAAGGCGACGAUCCGUAACUGGUCUGAGUGGAUGAUCAGUCACACUGGAACUGGGACACGGUCCAGACUCCUACGGGAGGCAGCAGUGGGGAAUAUUGGACAGUGGGCGAAAGCCUGAUCCAGCCAUGCCGCGUGUGUGAAGAAGGUCUUCGGAUUGUAAAGCACUUUAAGUUGGGAGGAAGGGCAGUAAGUUAAUACCUUGCUGUUUUGACGUUACCAACAGAAUAAGCGCCGGCUAACUUCGUG
rnacentral:rRNA from 1 species